GGCUCUCUAGUGUAGCGGGCACAUCCAAACCUUGAUUUAAUAUUGAUGUGAGGGAGGUUAUAGGUUCGAGUCCUAUGAGAGUUG